rfam:Gasterosteus aculeatus cont1.010945, whole genome shotgun sequence.
UUAAAAACGUAAUGUAAGUCACUUUGGAUAAAAGUGUCAGCUAAAUGACCUUUA